AGGUUUUUGUGAGGAUAAAAUAGGCAUAGCCAUGCAUGUAACCUGGAGUGUGUUGGAGGAAAGAUGAGAGGACCUGUAGAACUGGAAAUUCAGAGGGAAGCACAGCAAGAACUUCCACCAUUUGUAGAAUCUGAAGGGAGCUGUUAAUUCAGAAGAACAACUAAGAAGCUUCCGUCAUUGACAUUUUUCCUGUGGACUUCAUUCUGUGACAAUGAAGAACUCUGUCUAAAGGUCACUUGCCUCUGUUUUUAAUGGAGCUGCUUCAGAAUCCUCCAGCGCCAGAAGACAAAAUAAGAGAAUACCGGCCAGAAAGUACACCUUCAUAGUGUCCAGAUUUUAGUAUUUCCACAGCAGGUUUUGG